AUUGAACGCUGGCGGCAGGCCUAACACAUGCAAGUCGAGCGGCUGAAGGGAGCUUGCUCCUGGAUUCAGCGGCGGACGGGUGAGUAAUGCCUAGGUAUCUGCCUGCUAGUGGGGGAUCACGUCCGGAAACGGGCGCUAAUACCGCAUACGUCCUGCUGGAGAACGUUGGGGAUCUUCGGACCUCCCGCUAUCAGAUUAGCCUAGGUCGGAUUAGCUGGUUGGUGGGGUAAAGGCCUACCAAGGCGACGAUCCGUAACUGGUCUGAGAGGAUGAUCAGUCACACUGGAACUGAGACACGGUCCAGACUCCUACGGGAGGCAGCAGUGGGGAAUAUUGGGCAAUGGGCGAAAGCCUGAUGCAGCCAUGCCGCGUGUGUGAAGAAGGUCUUCGGAUUGUAAAGCACUUUAAGUUGGGAGGAAGGGCAGUAAGUUAAUACCUGGCUGGUUUGACGGUACCAACAGAAUAAGCACCGGCUAACUUCGUG
rnacentral:rRNA from 1 species